rnacentral:rRNA from 1 species
GAUGAACGCUGGCGGCGUGCCUAAUACAUGCAAGUCGAGCGAACAGACGAGGAGCUUGCUCCUCUGACGUUAGCGGCGGACGGGUGAGUAACACGUGGAUAACCUACCUAUAAGACUGGGAUAACUUCGGGAAACCGGAGCUAAUACCGGGUAAUAUAUUGAACCGCAUGGUUCAAUAGUGAAAGACGGUUUUGCUGUCACUUAUAGAUGGAUCCGCGCCGCAUUAGCUAGUUGGUAAGGUAACGGCUUACCAAGGCAACGAUGCGUAGCCGACCUGAGAGGGUGAUCGGCCACACUGGAACUGAGACACGGUCCAGACUCCUACGGGAGGCAGCAGUAGGGAAUCUUCCGCAAUGGGCGAAAGCCUGACGGAGCAACGCCGCGUGAGUGAUGAAGGUCUUCGGAUCGUAAAACUCUGUUAUUAGGGAAGAACAAAUGUGUAAGUAACUAUGCACGUCUUGACGGUACCUAAUCAGAAAGCCACGGCUAACUACGU